UUUGCUUCUAGGGUUUUCGUCACGGAGUUGAAUAUUGCUUUGCGGAAGAAGGUGUCCUCCAUUGCCUUUAGAAUCCCCUCUAAAGCUUCAAAUCUCAGGCCACACGACAGAAUCAGAUGAGCAACCACUUCACCAAACUGCGUUGGAGCUUUAGGAAGGUCAAUACCAAUAUCUUCCAACAACGACCCAUAUAGCAAGCAACCAUUUUCUAGAUCUUCAGUUUUGAAAGUUUUCUUGGUGUACAGAUGCUCCAGAAGCUUAACAAGAGGGUCAACAAAACUGGCACCUUUAUCCAGAGCAAGAUUGAUAGCUUCUUUAACAAUCUCAGGGUGGUAAUCAGGACUCUGCAACUCCUCGAUACAUUGUUGUGCUUCAUCCAAAAUACGAAUACCAAAAUACUCCUCAAGAAGAGAUGCUGUCUUCUUCUGAAGACCAGCAGGGACCACCUUGGCAGAACUGGCUGCUUUGUCAGGAACAGGUACAGAAGCUGGAGUUGCACUUGAUGGUUUUGGUGAUAAUGUAGUUUGAGCUGCUAAAGGAGUGGGGCUAGCAGUAAGGGUGGAAGGGCGGGAUGGUGGACCACCGGUUCCCAAGAGCGCACUCUUGCCAAUCAGUGCUCCAGUGCCUUGAGGAAGAAGCCUCGGGUUGAUGGGUGAUGGCUUGUUAAUAGAUGAUGGAAUCUUAUUAAUCAACGGACCCUGAUUGCGAAGCGGAUCGCCUCUUGGCAUUGAUCUAGAACGCUGAACUUCCCAGUUAUCAUUAUCUAACCCAGGCAUCCCAGGCAUUU
rnacentral:lncRNA from 1 species